rnacentral:lncRNA from 1 species
AAGCAUCCGACUUCCAUAGAUAUCCAUACGAGGUCUUGAUCUGAUCAGAAGCUUCUUAAUCUCAUUCGGAUCCUAGCUCCCUUGUAGAGUUCAUAUCUUGAUAGUUGAAGAAGAUUAUUCUUUUCUCUCAAGACCCUCUUAGAGAAGAAAAAGAAAAAUAGGAGGAUAGAAAUUUCUACACUAGAGAUCAUAAGAAGAACACUUUCUUCUCUUUCUUCCAAAAACUCAUGCACA